rnacentral:rRNA from 1 species
UUUCCGGUUGAUCCUGCCGGAGGUUACUGCUAUCGAGAUUCGACUAAGCCAUGCGAGUCGAAUGUUCUUCGUGAACAUGGCGGACUGCUCAGUAACACGUGGACAACCUACCCUUGGGUCUGGCAUAAUCCUGGGAAACUGGGUAUAAUUCCAGAUAGGUCACAGAUGCUGGAAUGCACUGUGGCCGAAAGCUCCGGCGCCCAAGGAUGGGUCUGCGGCCUAUCAGGGUUGUAGUGGGUGUAACGGACCUACUAGCCUACGACGGGUACGGGUUGUGAGAGCAAGAGCCCGGAGGUGGAUUCUGAGACACGAAUCCAGACCCUACGGGGUGCAGCAGGCGCGAAAACUUUACAAUGCGGGAAACCGUGGUAAGGGAAUCUCGAGUGCCAGCAUAUAAUGUUGGCUGUCCAGAUGCCUAAAAAGCAUCUGUUAGCAAGGGCCGGGCAAGACCGGUGCCAGCCGCCGCGGUAACACCGGCGGCCCGAGUGGUAACCGCUUUUAUUGGGUCUAAAGGGUCCGUAGCCGGCCAAGUAAGUCCCUUGGGAAAUCUGACAGCUUAACUGUCAGGCUGCUAGGGGAUACUGCUAGGCUUGGGACCGGGAGAGGUGAGAGGUACCUUGGGGGUAGGGGUGAAAUCUUGUGAUCCUCGGGGGACCACCAGUGGCGAAGGCGUCUCACCAGAACGGGUCCGACGGUAAGGGACGAAAGCUAGGGGCACGAACCGGAUUAGAUACCCGGGUAGUCCUAGCCGUAAACGAUGCUCGCUAGGUGUCAGUCACGGUGCGACCGUGAUUGGUGCCGUAGGGAAGCCGUGAAGCGAGCCACCUGGGAAGUAUGGCCGCAAGGCUGAAACUUAAAGGAAUUGGCGGGGGAGCACUACAACGGGUGGAGCCUGCGGUUUAAUUGGAUUCAACGCCGGA